AUUUCAACCUCGUUCUUGUGCCAUUAAUCACUUGUGACUUGUGAGUGUGUAUCAACAUCACAAAGUAAUCUCAAAAUGGAGUAUACCCGUGUUUCAGAAUACGAGAGAGAGCCUUUUGAGUAUUCAACACAGAGAGCAACGAUGGGCAAUUACCACUACCCCGCCGGCCACCGUGAAUACACAGAGAAGGUGGUUUAUGAGGAGGAUGUGAUCGGGGGACCCCGCCACCACCACCACAACAUGCAUCACCACCACCCUGAGACCCGUGAGGUGGCUAAGGUGGUGGAGUACGAAGUUCCCGAGAGGCGCGUGGGUGAAGUUAUCUACGAAGAGAAUAAAAUAGCUUAUCCAUACAAUCGAAGGUAUUGAAUGUUGCAGCAGAUGCAAGAAACCUACGACGUGUUAUCGAGUGGCUAUUAAUUGCUAGCAGGUUAUCUAACAUAGUAUAUCAAAAUCACCAGUAGUGUGCUUUUGUACUGAAUAAAUUCCUGCUAAGCUAGCCUUUAUGUUGUAAACCAUAUAUGUCUGUCAUUUUAUGAAUAAAGUUGUGUUAAUUAAUGUGUGUAAA